rnacentral:rRNA from 1 species
CUACAGGCUUAACACAUGCAAGUCGAGGGGCAGCAUGGUCUUAGCUUGCUAAGGCCGAUGGCGACCGGCGCACGGGUGAGUAACACGUAUCCAACCUGCCGUCUACUCUUGGACAGCCUUCUGAAAGGAAGAUUAAUACAAGAUGGCAUCAUGAGUCCGCAUGUUCACAUGAUUAAAGGUAUUCCGGUAGACGAUGGGGAUGCGUUCCAUUAGAUAGUAGGCGGGGUAACGGCCCACCUAGUCUUCGAUGGAUAGGGGUUCUGAGAGGAAGGUCCCCCACAUUGGAACUGAGACACGGUCCAAACUCCUACGGGAGGCAGCAGUGAGGAAUAUUGGUCAAUGGGCGAGAGCCUGAACCAGCCAAGUAGCGUGAAGGAUGACUGCCCUAUGGGUUGUAAACUUCUUUUAUAAAGGAAUAAAGUCGGGUAUGGAUACCCGUUUGCAUGUACUUUAUGAAUAAGGAUCGGCUAACUCCGUGCCAGCAGCCGCGGUAAUACGGAGGAUCCGAGCGUUAUCCGGAUUUAUUGGGUUUAAAGGGAGCGUAGAUGGAUGUUUAAGUCAGUUGUGAAAGUUUGCGGCUCAACCGUAAAAUUGCAGUUGAUACUGGAUAUCUUGAGUGCAGUUGAGGCAGGCGGAAUUCGUGGUGUAGCGGUGAAAUGCUUAGAUAUCACGAAGAACUCCGAUUGCGAAGGCAGCCUGCUAAGCUGCAACUGACAUUGAGGCUCGAAAGUGUGGGUAUCAAACAGGAUUAGAUACCCUGGUAGUCCACACGGUAAACGAUGAAUACUCGCUGUUUGCGAUAUACUGCAAGCGGCCAAGCGAAAGCGUUAAGUAUUCCACCUGGGGAGUACGCCGGCAACGGUGAAACUCAAAGGAAUUGACGGGGGCCCGCACAAGCGGAGGAACAUGUGGUUUAAUUCGAUGAUACGCGAGGAACCUUACCCGGGCUUAAAUUGCAGAUGAAUUACGGUGAAAGCCGUAAGCCGCAAGGCAUCUGUGAAGGUGCUGCAUGGUUGUCGUCAGCUCGUGCCGUGAGGUGUCGGCUUAAGUGCCAUAACGAGCGCAACCCUUGUUGUCAGUUACUAACAGGUUCCGCUGAGGACUCUGACAAGACUGCCAUCGUAAGAUGUGAGGAAGGUGGGGAUGACGUCAAAUCAGCACGGCCCUUACGUCCGGGGCUACACACGUGUUACAAUGGGGGGUACAGAGGGCCGCUACCACGCGAGUGGAUGCCAAUCCCCAAAACCUCUCUCAGUUCGGACUGGAGUCUGCAACCCGACUCCACGAAGCUGGAUUCGCUAGUAAUCGCGCAUCAGCCACGGCGCGGUGAAUACGUUCCCGGGCCUUGUACACACCGCCCGUCAAGCCAUGGGAGCCGGGGGUACCUGAAGUGCGUAACCGCGAGGAGCGCCCUAGGGUAAAACUGGUGACUGGGGCUAAGUCAUAACAAG